rnacentral:tRNA from 1 species
UAAGAUUUUAAGUUAACCUAAACUAUAUGCCUUCAAAGCAUACUAUAAUAAUAAUAGUUAAAUCUUAG